UUCUGCAGCAGAGCUAGUUCCUACGUGUGUGAAGAAUUAUAUGUGCUGACUCAAGUGACAAAAUGAUGAAAAGGUUUUCUACUGAGGAAGGCUCAUAUUCUUCUAAUGUUAGCCUAAAUUCCACUGAAGUCCAUAACUUGAUCCAUUUUCCCCAGUGAACUUGGGCUGGACAAGUCUGGUUUGGAGUAUCCUCUCUCUGAAAGGCUAUGUGUUUUUCAGUGGAAUUUACUCCAUAAGUAUCACACAAAGCAGCUGUCCACAGCAAGAAAUUCAUCAUUCACUCUCUGAUCAACACAUACAG